GAUGAACGCUAGCGGCAGGCUUAAUACAUGCAAGUCGAGGGGUAGCAGGGUAGCAAUACCGCUGACGACCGGCAAACGGGUGCGGAACACGUACACAACCUUCCUUUUAGUGGGGAAUAGCCCAGAGAAAUUUGGAUUAAUACCCCAUAACAUAGCGAUGUGGCAUCACAUUGUUAUUAUAGGUUUACCGCUAAGAGAUGGGUGUGCGGCUGAUUAGGUAGUUGGCGGAGUAACAGCCCACCAAGCCAACGAUCAGUAGCUGAUGUGAGAGCAUGAUCAGCCACACGGGAACUGAGAGACGUGCCCGACUCCUACGGGAGGCAGCAGUGGGGAAUUUUGGACAAUGGGCGAAAGCCUGAUCCAGCCAUGCCGCGUGCAGGAUGAAGGCCUUCGGGUUGUAAACUGCUUUUGUACGAAACGAAAAGACUCUUUCUAAUAAAGAGGGUCCAUGACGGUACCGUAAGAAUAAGCACCGGCUAACUACGUGCCAGCAGCCGCAGUAAAAC
rnacentral:rRNA from 1 species